CUGCUAUCGGGGUUCGAUUAAGCCAUGCGAGUCGAGAGGUGAAAGACCUCGGCGUACUGCUCAGUAACACGUGGACAACCUACCCUAAGGUGGGGGAUAACCCCGGGAAACUGGGGAUAAUACCCCAUAGGCUAGAGAAGCUGGAAUGCUCUCAAGUUCAAAGGUCCGCCGCCUUAGGAUGGGUCUGCGGUCGAUUAGGUUGUUGUUGGGGUAACGGCCCAACAAGCCCGUGAUCGAUACGGGUUGUGAGAGCAAGAGCCCGGAGAUGGAUUCUGAGACACGAAUCCAGGCCCUACGGGGCGCAGCAGGCGCGAAAACUUUACAAUGCGGGAAACCGUGAUAAGGGAACCCCGAGUGCCCGUAAAUUCGGGCUGUCCAUCAGCGUAAAUAACUGGUGAAGAAAGGGCCGGGCAAGACCGGUGCCAGCCGCCGCGGUAAUACCGGCGGCUCGAGUGGUGGCCACUAUUAUUGGGCUUAAAGCGUCCGUAGCUUGGUUGUUAAGUCUCUUGGGAAAUCUACCGGCUCAACCGGUAGGCGUUCAGGAGAUACUGGCAAUCUAGGGACCGGGAGAGGUGAGAGGUACUCCAGGGGUAGGAGUGAAAUCCUGUAAUCCUUGGGGGACCACCUGUGGCGAAGGCGUCUCACUAGAACGGCUCCGACAGUGAGGGACGAAAGCUGGGGGAGCAAACCGGAUUAGAUACCCGGGUAGUCCCAGCUGUAAACGAUGCGCGUUAGGUGUAUCGGUGACCACGAGUCACCGAGGUGCCGAAAGGRAAACCGUGAAACGUGCCGCCUGGGAAAGUACGGUCGCA
rnacentral:rRNA from 1 species